GUUUGUCAUUAGAAAAUAAUAUUAGGUUGGAGCAAAAGUAAUUGCGGUUUUUGUAUUGCUUUCAAUGAUAAAAGCCAGAAUUACUUUUGCACCAACUUAAUAUGAUAAAUUU
rnacentral:pre_miRNA from 1 species